CCCAUUUAACCGAAAAUUACGCGUUUUCUCAUCGAGAAACCCCCAUUUAACCCAAAAAUCACAUGUUUUCUUUUUGAGAAUCCCCCAUUUAAGCAAAAAUCACACGUUUUCCCUUUGAGAAGCUCACAUUUAAGCGAAGAUCAAGUGCUUUCUUUUCAAGAAUCCCCCAUUUAACCCCAAAAUCACGCGUUUUCUCUUUGAGAAUCACCGAGAUUACCUGAAAAUCACGCAUUUUCUCUUCAGAAAUCCCCCACUUAACACAAAAAUCACGCGUUUUCUCUUCGAGAAUCCCCCAUUUAAGCCGAAAAUCACGCGUUUUCUCUUCGACAAUCCCCCAUUUAACCGAAAAUCACGCAUUUGCUCUUCGAGAAUCCCCCAUUUAACCGAAAAUCACGCGUUUUCUCUUCGGAAAUUCCCCAUUUGAGCAAAAAUCACGCGUUUUCUCUUCGACAAUCCCCCAUUUAACCAAAAAAUCACGCAUUUUCUCUUCACAAAUCCCCCAUUUAACCCGAAAAUCACGCGUUUUCUCUUCGAGAAUCCCCCAUUUAAGCGAAAAUCACGCGUUUUCUCUUCGAGAAUCCCCCAUUUAACCCGAAAAUCACGCGCUUUCUCUUCAAGAAUCCCCCAUUAAACAAAAAAUCACGCGUUUUCUCUUCGAGAAUCCCGUUUAUCUCAAAAAUGACGCAUCUUUUCUUCUAAAAUCCCCCAUUUAAUCCGAAAAUCACGCGUUUUCUCUUUGAGAAUUUCCCAUUUAACCAAAAAAUCACGCGUUUUCUCUUCAGAAAUCCCCCAUUUAACUCGGAAAUCACACUUCUCCUCCUCGGAAAUCCACCAUUUAAGGGAAAAUCACGUGUUUUCUCUUCAGAAAUCCCUCAUUCAAGCGACAAUCACGUGCUUUUUCAUUGAGAUUCCCACGUUUAACAUGAAAAUCACGCGGUUUCUCUUCGAGAAUCCCCCAUUUAAGCAAAAAUCGUUUGUUUUUUCUUCUGAAAUACCCCAUUUAACCCAAAAAUCACGUGGUUUCUCAUCAGGAAUCCCCCAUGUAAGUGAAAAUCACGCGUUUUCUCUUCGGAAAACGCCCAUUUAACUCGAAAAUAUUGUGUUUUCUCUUCGAGAAUCCCCCAUUUAAGCAAAAAUCAUGUGUUUUCUCUUUGGAAAUCCACCAUUUAACCCGAAAAUCACGUGCUUUCUCUUCAAGAAUCCCUUGUUUCACCCGAAAAUCAUGCUUUUUCUCUUCAGAAAUUCCCCAUUUAACUGAAAAUCAUGUGUUUUCUCUUCAGGAAUCCCCCAUUUAAGCAAAAAUCACGUGCCUUCUCUUCAAGAAUCCUAUAUUUAUGUGAAAAUCACACAUUUUCUCUUCUAAAAUCCCCCAUUUAACCCAAAAAUCAUGUGUUCUCUAUUCAGAAAUCCCGCAUUUAACACAGAAAUCACGCAUUUUCUUUUUGAGAAUUCACCAUUUAACCCGAAAAUCACGCAUUUUCUCUUAGAGAGUCCACCAUCUUACCCGAAAAUCACGCAUUUUCUCUUCGAGAAUCCCCCCAUUUAAGCAAAAAAUAACGAGUUUUCUCUUCGGGAAUCCUCCAUUGAACCUUUCC
ensembl:lncRNA